UACAGGGGGUGCAAGCGUUAAUCGGAAUUACUGGGCGUAAAGGGCGCGUAGGUUGCUGCGUAAGUGAAAUGUGAAAUCCCCGGGCUUAACCUGGGAACUGCAUUUUAGACUGCGUAGCUGGAGUGCGAUAGAGGGUAGUGGAAUUUCCGGUGUAGCGGUGAAAUGCGUAGAUAUCGGAAGGAACACCAGUGGCGAAGGCGGCUACCUGGAUCGACACUGACACUGAGGCGCGAGAGCGUGGGGAGCAAACGGG
rnacentral:rRNA from 1 species